rnacentral:rRNA from 1 species
GAGUUUGAUCGUGGCUCAGGACGAACGCUGGCGGCGCGCCUAACACAUGCAAGUCGAACGGAGUUAUUCUGAAUGAAGUUUUCGGAUGGAUUUUGGAUUAACUUAGUGGCGAACGGGUGAGUAACGCGUGAGUAACCUGCCCUGGAGUGGGGACAACAGUUGGAAACGACUGCUAAUACCGCAUAAGCCCACGGUGCCGCAUGGCACAGCGGGAAAAGGAUUUAUUCGCUUCAGGAUGGACUCGCGUCCAAUUAGCUAGUUGGUGAGGUAACGGCCCACCAAGGCGACGAUUGGUAGCCGGACUGAGAGGUUGAACGGCCACAUUGGGACUGAGACACGGCCCAGACUCCUACGGGAGGCAGCAGUGGGGGAUAUUGCACAAUGGGGGAAACCCUGAUGCAGCGACGCCGCGUGGAGGAAGAAGGUUUUCGGAUUGUAAACUCUGUUGUUAGAGAAGAACAUGCGAGAGAGUAACUGUUCUUGUAUUGACGGUAU